rnacentral:tRNA from 1 species
AAUGAAUUGCCUGAUUAAAAGGAUUACCUUGAUAGGGUAAAUUAUAUGUUUCCGAACAUAUUCAUUA